ACUCCUACGGGAGGCAGCAGUAAGGAAUAUUGGACAAUGGGCGAAAGCCUGAUCCAGCCAUCCCGCGUGCAGGAUGACGGCCCUAUGGGUUGUAAACUGCUUUUGUUUGAGAAGAAACGCCUGGAUUUAUCCGGGCCUGACGGUAUCUUACGAAUAAGCACCGGCUAACUCCGUGCCAGCAGCCGCGGUAAUACGGAGGGUGCAAGCGUUAUCCGGAAUCACUGGGUUUAAAGGGUGAGCAGGCGGAUAAAUAAGUCAGAGGUGAAAUCUUGCAGCUUAAACUGUAAAACUGCCUUUGAUACUGUUUAUCUUGAAUUAGGUUGAGGUCAGCGGAAUGUGACAUGUAGCGGUGAAAUGCGGAGAUAUGUCAUAGAACACCAAUUGCGAAGGCAGCUGACUGGGCCUUAAUUGACGCUGAGUCACGAAAGCGUGGGAGCGAACAGGAUUAGAUACCCCUGGUAGACUGUCA
rnacentral:rRNA from 1 species